UUGUUAAUGAAACCAACAGUGUUAAUAAAAGGUACAAUACAGAAAAGAUUAGUAUGCCCCUGUGCAAGGAUGACACACACAAAUCGAGAAAUGGUCCAAUAAAAG